GGGUUGUGAGGUUAAGCGACUAAGCGUACACGGUGGAUGCCCUGGCAGUCAGAGGCGAUGAAGGACGUGCUAAUCUGCGAAAAGCGUCGGUAAGGUGAUAUGAACCGUUAUAACCGGCGAUGUCCGAAUGGGGAAACCCAGUGUGAUUCGUCACACUAUCGUUAACUGAAUACAUAGGUUAACGAGGCGAACCGGGGGAACUGAAACAUCUAAGUACCCCGAGGAAAAGAAAUCAACCGAGAUUCCCCCAGUAGCGGCGAGCGAACGGGGAGCAGCCCAGAGUCUGAAUCAGCUUGUGUGUUAGUGGAACGGUCUGGAAAGUCCGACGGUACAGGGUGAUAGUCCCGUACACCAAAAUGCACAGGCUGUGAACUCGAAGAGUAGGGCGGGACACGUGGUAUCCUGUCUGAAUAUGGGGGGACCAUCCUCCAAGGCUAAAUACUCCUGACUGACCGAUAGUGAACCAGUACCGUGAGGGAAAGGCGAAAAGAACCCCGGCGAGGGGAGUGAAAAAGAACCUGAAACCGUGUACGUACAAGCAGUGGGAGCACCUUCGGGUGUGACUGCGUACCUUUUGUAUAAUGGGUCAGCGACUUAUAUUCUGUAGCAAGGUUAACCGUAUAGGGGAGCCGCAGGGAAACCGAGUCUUAACUGGGCGUUAAGUUGCAGGGUAUAGACCCGAAACCCGGUGAUCUAGCCAUGGGCAGGUUGAAGGUUGGGUAACACUAACUGGAGGACCGAACCGACUAAUGUUGAAAAAUUAGCGGAUGACUUGUGGCUGGGGGUGAAAGGCCAAUCAAACCGGGAGAUAGCUGGUUCUCCCCGAAAGCUAUUUAGGUAGCGCCUCGUGAACUCAUCUUCGGGGGUAGAGCACUGUUUCGGCUAGGGGGUCAUCCCGACUUACCAACCCGAUGCAAACUACGAAUACCGAAGAAUGUUAUCACGGGAGACACACGGCGGGUGCUAACGUCCGUCGUGAAGAGGGAAACAACCCAGACCGCCAGCUAAGGUCCCAAAGUCAUGGUUAAGUGGGAAACGAUGUGGGAAGGCACAGACAGCCAGGAUGUUGGCUUAGAAGCAGCCAUCAUUUAAAGAAAGCGUAAUAGCUCACUGGUCGAGUCGGCCUGCGCGGAAGAUGUAACGGGGCUAAACCAUGCACCGAAGCUGCGGCAGCGACACUAUGUGUUGUUGGGUAGGGGAGCGUUCUGUAAGCCUGCGAAGGUGUGCUGUGAGGCAUGCUGGAGGUAUCAGAAGUGCGAAUGCUGACAUAAGUAACGAUAAAGCGGGUGAAAAGCCCGCUCGCCGGAAGACCAAGGGUUCCUGUCCAACGUUAAUCGGGGCAGGGUGAGUCGACCCCUAAGGCGAGGCCGAAAGGCGUAGUCGAUGGGAAACAGGUUAAUAUUCCUGUACUUGGUGUUACUGCGAAGGGGGGACGGAGAAGGCUAUGUUAGCCGGGCGACGGUUGUCCCGGUUUAAGCAUGUAGGCUGGUUGUCCAGGCAAAUCCGGAUAAUCAAGGCUGAGGUGUGAUGACGAGGCACUACGGUGCUGAAGUAACAAAUGCCCUGCUUCCAGGAAAAGCCUCUAAGCAUCAGGUAACAUCAAAUCGUACCCCAAACCGACACAGGUGGUCAGGUAGAGAAUACCAAGGCGCUUGAGAGAACUCGGGUGAAGGAACUAGGCAAAAUGGUGCCGUAACUUCGGGAGAAGGCACGCUGGUGUGUAGGUGAAGUCCCUGCGGAUGGAGCUGAGACCAGUCGAAGAUACCAGCUGGCUGCAACUGUUUAUUAAAAACACAGCACUGUGCAAACACGAAAGUGGACGUAUACGGUGUGACGCCUGCCCGGUGCCGGAAGGUUAAUUGAUGGGGUUAUCCGUAAGGAGAAGCUCUUGAUCGAAGCCCCGGUAAACGGCGGCCGUAACUAUAACGGUCCUAAGGUAGCGAAAUUCCUUGUCGGGUAAGUUCCGACCUGCACGAAUGGCGUAAUGAUGGCCAGGCUGUCUCCACCCGAGACUCAGUGAAAUUGAACUCGCUGUGAAGAUGCAGUGUACCCGCGGCAAGACGGAAAGACCCCGUGAACCUUUACUAUAGCUUGACACUGAACAUUGAGCCUUGAUGUGUAGGAUAGGUGGGAGGCUUUGAAGCGUGGACGCCAGUCUGCGUGGAGCCAACCUUGAAAUACCACCCUUUAAUGUUUGAUGUUCUAACGUUGGCCCCUGACCGGGGUUGCGGACAGUGUCUGGUGGGUAGUUUGACUGGGGCGGUCUCCUCCCAAAGCGUAACGGAGGAGCACGAAGGUUAGCUAAUCCUGGUCGGACAUCAGGAGGUUAGUGCAAUGGCAUAAGCUAGCUUGACUGCGAGCGUGACGGCGCGAGCAGGUGCGAAAGCAGGUCAUAGUGAUCCGGUGGUUCUGAAUGGAAGGGCCAUCGCUCAACGGAUAAAAGGUACUCCGGGGAUAACAGGCUGAUACCGCCCAAGAGUUCAUAUCGACGGCGGUGUUUGGCACCUCGAUGUCGGCUCAUCACAUCCUGGGGCUGAAGUAGGUCCCAAGGGUAUGGCUGUUCGCCAUUUAAAGUGGUACGCGAGCUGGGUUUAGAACGUCGUGAGACAGUUCGGUCCCUAUCUGCCGUGGGCGCUGGAGAAUUGAGGGGGGCUGCUCCUAGUACGAGAGGACCGGAGUGGACGCAUCACUGGUGUUCGGGUUGUCAUGCCAAUGGCACUGCCCGGUAGCUAAAUGCGGAAGAGAUAAGUGCUGAAAGCAUCUAAGCACGAAACUUGCCCCGAGAUGAGUUCUCCCUGAGACUUUAAGUCUCCUGAAGGAACGUUAAAGACGAUGACGUUGAUAGGCCGGGUGUGUAAGCGCAGCGAUGCGUUGAGCUAACCGGUACUAAUGAACCGUGAGGCUUAACCUUACAACGCCGAAG
rnacentral:rRNA from 1 species